rnacentral:rRNA from 1 species
GAUGAACGCUGGCGGCGUGCCUAAUACAUGCAAGUCGAGCGAACAGACGAGGCGCUUGCUCCUCUGACGUUAGCGGCGGACGGGUGUGUAACACGUGGAUAACCUACCUAUCAGACUGGGAUAACUUCGGGAAACCGGCGCUAAUACCGGAUAAUCUCUUGAACCGCAUGGUUCAAUAGUGAAAGACGGUUUUGCUGUCUCUUCUAGCUGGAUCCGCGCCGCAUUAGCUAGUUGUUAAGUUAACGGCUUACCAAGGCAACGAUGCGUAGCCGACGUGAGAGGGUGAUCGGCCACACUGGAACGUGGACGGGGUCCAGGCGCCUGCGGGAGGCAGCAGUAUGGAAUCUGCCGCAGUAGGCGAGAGCCUGACGGAGCAGCGCGGAGUGAGUGAUGAAGGUCUUCGGAUCGUAAAACUCUGUUAUGAGGGAAGAACAAAUGUCUAAGUAACUAUGCACGGCUUGACGGUACCUAAUAAGAAAGCCACGGCUAACUACGUG